rnacentral:rRNA from 1 species
UACGUAGGGGGCUAGCGUUGUCCGGAAUCAUUGGGCGUAAAGAGCGUGUAGGCGGCCCGGUAAGUCCGCUGUAAAAGUCAAAGGCUCAACCUUUGAAUGUCAGUGGAUACUGCCGGGCUAGAGUCCGGAAGAGGCGAGUGGAACUCCUGGUGUAGCGGUGGAAUGCGCAGAUAUCAGGAGGAACACCGGUGGCGAAGGCGGGUCUCUGGGCAUUAACUGACGCUGAGGAGCGAAAGCAUGGGGAGCGAACAGG